UCGCGGGCGAGAUCCCAAGGCGAGGCUUGCGCACCGUCCCCGCCCUGGCCCCCAGCGCCCACCCAGUCCGCCCGGCUCAGCCAGGAUCAAGGCAAUCCUCAUCUUCAACAACCACAGGAAGCCUCGGCUCUCCAAGUCUACCAGUCUUAUAUUAAUUGGAGGAUCUGACAACAAACUAAUUUAUAGACAUUAUGCAACGUUAUAUUUUGUCUUCUGUGUGGAUUCUUCAGAAAGUGAACUUGGCAUUUUAGAUCUAAUUCAAGUAUUUGUGGAAACAUUAGACAAGUGUUUUGAAAAUAUCUGUGAACUGGAUUUAAUUUUCCAUGUAGACAAGGCUGGCUUAGCGGGAGCUCCAGCCCGUGCUGUUUCAGCUGUAAAGAAUAUGAAUCUUCCUGAGAUCCCAAGAAAUAUUAACAUUGGUGACAUCAGUAUAAAAGUGCCAAACCUGCCCUCUUUU